rnacentral:rRNA from 1 species
UACGUAGGGGGCAAGCGUUGUCCGGAAUCACUGGGCGUAAAGCGCACGUAGGCGGAUGUGUCAGUCAGGGGUGAAAUCCCGGAGCUCAACUUCGGAACUGCCCUUGAUACAGCACGUCUUGAGUCCGGAAGAGGUGGGUGGAAUUCCUAGUGUAGAGGUGAAAUUCGUAGAUAUUAGGAAGAACACCGGUGGCGAAGGCGGCCCACUGGUCCGGUACUGACGCUGAGGCGCGAAAGCGUGGGGAUCAAACAGG